UACGGAGGAUGCAAGCGUUAUCCGGAAUGAUUGGGCGUAAAGCGUCCGCAGGUGGCUGUGUAAGUCUGCUGUUAAGAAGUGAGGCUCAACCUCAUAAAAGCAGUGGAAACUACACGGCUAGAGUGCGUUCGGGGCAGAGGGAAUUCCUGGAUGGUAGCGGUGAAAUGCGUAGAUAUCAGGAAGAACACCGGUGGCGAAAGCGCUCUGCUAGGCCGCAACUGACACUGAGGGACGAAGCUAAGGGGAGCGAAUGGG
rnacentral:rRNA from 1 species